rfam:Dipodomys ordii contig_61508, whole genome shotgun sequence.
GGUGGCUCAGUGGUAGAGCAUUUGCCUUGCAUGCAUGAGGCCCUGGGUUCCAUUCCUCAGCACCA